rnacentral:lncRNA from 1 species
AAAGUUAUCAUCUUUAUUAUAUUUUAUUAUCAUUUAUUAUUAUUUUUUAAAUAUUAAAUAAAUCUCAACAAGUAAAAGUAAAAUAAAUCUCUUUUGGAUCUUAUGAAUAAAAAUAGGAGAAGACUAUAUUCUUCUUUUUUUAAAUAUUCUUAUCACAUUUUAUUUAUUAUUAUUAAAAAAAUUAAUUAUGAUAAAAUAUGAAACAAAAAUAAAAUCUAAUCACUUAAUAACUAAAAAUUAAACCAAAAUAAUAUAAAAUAAAUAAAUAUAUUAUCAUUACUCUCAUUAAUUACUAAAAUAAUAAAAAAAUAAACUAAACUUAAAUUCCCUCAACAACCGCCC